rnacentral:rRNA from 1 species
CACACGACUCUCGGCAACGGAUAUCUCGGCUCUCGCAUCGAUGAAGAACGUAGCGAAAUGCGAUACCUGGUGUGAAUUGCAGAAUCCCGCGAACCAUCGAGUCUUUGAACGCAAGUUGCGCCCGAGGCCACCCGGCCGAGGGCACGCCUGCCUGGGCGUCACGCU